rnacentral:rRNA from 1 species
AUUGAACGCUGGCGGCAGGCCUAACACAUGCAAGUCGAACGAGUGGCGGACGGGUGAGUAAUGUCUGGGGAACUGCCUGAUGGAGGGGGAUAACUACUGGAAACGGUAGCUAAUACCGCAUACCAUCGGAUGUGCCCAUAUGGGAUUAGCUUGUAGGUGGGGUAACGGCUCACCUAGGCGACGAUCCCUAGCUGGUCUGAGAGGAUGACCAGCCACACUGGGACUGAGACACGGCCCAGACUCCUACGGGAGGCAGCAGUGGGGAAUAUUGCACAAUGGGCGCAAGCCUGAUGCAGCCAUGCCGCGUGUAUGAAGAAGGCCUUCGGGUUGUAAAGUACUUUCAGCCGGGAGGCGUUACCGGCAGAAGAAGCACCGGCUAACUCCGUGCCAGCAGCCGCGGUAAUAC